GCCAGUGUGGUGUAGUGGUUUGAGAGUUGGAUUAUGACUCUGGAGGUUAGGGUUCAAACCCCAGCUUGGCCA